UAAUAGACACAUUUUUUCUUUUGUUAAGCCUUGUACAAAAUUAACAAAUUUAUAAACAUUAGGCAUAGCGUGGAACUUUGGAAUAUUUGGAUAUUUUCGAUUUUGUUUAUGGCAAAUAUCAGUCUGAUCAGAUUUAUUACUGAAAACUAAUUGCAGUAAUCUUUUUUAAGCGAAACUGUUCAAUCAGGUAUGAGUAGCGGAGGCGGUGGUGGCGGAGGAGGUACAGGCGGUGGAGGCGGAGGAGGCGGUGGUGGUGGCGGUGGAAUUGGUGGAGGAGACGGUGGAAAAGGUGGUGACGUUGGUGAAAAUGGAGAAAAUGGUGGUGAUGCCAGUUUUCCGUUUGGUGGUGGUGGGGGUGGAGGUGGUGGUGGCUCAGGCGGCGGCCAGGGUGGUGAAGGCGGUGAAGGAUGGUGGGCUCCGGACGGAGAAAAAGGUGAAGAUGGUGACUGACAAUGAUUUAAUUGUGUUGUGUUAUUUCAUAAUCGUAUAAAUAAUUCUUGAAUUGAAUUGAAUUGUAUUCCAAUCGAACUACCAGCCACAGAACUAUUCCAAUCAACAACAACAACAACAACAAAAAUAAACAACUAUCUUCUACCCUCCAUGUGAUUUUUUGUAAAUAUAUGCAUCAUUAUUUACGUGGUUCUACAAAAAGAGCCUGUGUUUGAUUAUUAAAAAAAACAUACCAUGAUAACUUGUUUCAUUUAGAUAAAGGUUCUUAUGUACAUCACACAAUUCCAUGUUGUUCUGAAAUAAAUAUUUUAUUUAAUACA